rnacentral:rRNA from 1 species
GGAGUUUGGGCCGUGUCUCAGUCCCAAUGUGGCCGUACACCCUCUCAGGCCGGCUACUGAUCGUCGCCUCGGUGGGCCGUUACCCCGCCGACAAGCUAAUCAGACGCAUCCCCAUCCCUUAGCGAUAAAUCUUUGGUAUUCGUCAGAUGUCCUCAAAAUACAACAUAGAGUAUUAAUCCGACUUUCGCCGGGCUAUCCUCUACUAAGGGGAAGGUUGGAUACGCGUUACUCACCCGUCGCGCCGGUCGCCAGCAACAAUAGCAAGCUAUCGUCCUGCUGCCCCUCGACUUGCAUGUGUUAAGCCUGUAGCUAGCGUUCAUCCUGAGCCAUCGAUCAAACUCU